ACUGAUAUAGCCUAGUGGUCAGGGUGUAGCGCUGCAAUAUAGACGUCCGAGGUUCGAGUCCCCGGUCGGUU